UAAGAAGACUUAGUGGUUUAAUUAUACAUUAAGGAAUUGGCUAAGUGGUAAUUAGAAUGCAUAUAGACUCAUUCUAUAUUGAUCUAAGAGGGACUAUUAAGAAGUAAGUGGAUUAGUGAGAAUCCAACUAAAUGGCAAACUAGUAAUUUUGGCAUAGUUAGAGGGCAUUUUGGACAAUAGACAUCUUGCAUGAGUCAUAAGGAGUUGUUUGGAUGGAGGGAUGUAUAUCUUGGUUAGAGAAUCAUUUCUUUUGGAGAAUAAAGAGAUUAGAGCCAAGAAGAACUCAUAACUCAUUUUCCAUUUUCGUAUUCCAUGGCAGCCUCCACUAAAACAGGUAUAUCUCUCAACUCGUAACUCCGAUUGAGCUGAUUCCGGUCCCAUUGGAAAGCUAACGAAUUUCUCUUCGAUUUGCACCUAUGGUUCGCGUUCAUAGCUUAUGUUUUGAAGGAGAAAAGUGAGCUUGAAGUUGGGACAUGCAUGCUGAUUGUGUGUUAAGGUGUGGCUGCGGAUUUGAUGAUGAAGAAUAUGAAUUUUGGGCAAGAAGAGAUUACCAUAGCAGCAAGAACAUGAUCUUAACCUCCAUUAAAUCCAAGGUGCAGUUUAGUAGCGUUUAGUCAGUAGCAGGUUUGGACUGAAGACUUGGAAGUGGUGAUGGCUCGGAGACCUCGUCAGAUCUCAUUUUCCGCUGUGCAGAUCCAUUGAAGAUACAUGUGUUGUAAUUCUUAUUAGGAUAUCAUGUUGUAUUUUAUAUGGAUCUCUCUAUAUCUAUAGCUUUUGUAUGUACUCAAUAUCAAUUUUAACGUUUCAUGCAUAAUAUACUAGUCAGUUAUGUA